rnacentral:ribozyme from 1 species
GGUCGGUCCGGUUACAUGCCGGGAAGACCGCCAGGGAAACACACGUAUUUGGAACCGUGGUACAUUAACUGGC